AUACGUAGGGUGCGAGCGUUGUCCGGAAUUACUGGGCGUAAAGAGCUCGUAGGUAGUUUGUCGCGUCGUCUGUGAAAUUCCGGGGCUUAACUCCGGGCGUGCAGGCGAUACGGGCAUAACUUGAGUACUGUAGGGGAGACUGGAAUUCCUGGUGUAGCGGUGAAAUGCGCAGAUAUCAGGAGGAACACCGGUGGCGAAGGCGGGUCUCUGGGCAGUAACUGACGCUGAGGAGCGAAAGCAUGGGUAGCGAACAGGAUUAGAUACCCUGGUAGUCCAUGCCGUAAACGGUGGGCGCUAGGUGUAGGGGUCUUCCACGACUUCUGUGCCGUAGCUAACGCAUUAAGCGCCCCGCCUGGGGAGUACGGCCGCAAGGCUAAAACUCAAAUGAAUUGACGGGG
rnacentral:rRNA from 1 species